UACAGAGGGUGCAAGCGUUAAUCGGAAUUACUGGGCGUAAAGGGCGCGUAGGUGGGGAAGUAAGUUAGAUGUGAAAUACCUGGGCUUAACCUGGGAAUUGCAUUUGAUACUGCUUUUCUAGAGUAAGGUAGAGGGUAGUGGAAUUUCUGGUGUAGCGGUGAAAUGCGUAGAUAUCAGAAGGAACAUCAGUGGCGAAAGCGGCUUCCUGGACCAGAACUGACGAUCAGGCACGAAAGCGUGGGGAGCAAACAGG
rnacentral:rRNA from 1 species